CACGUAGGGACCAAGCGUUGUCCGGAUUCAUUGGGCGUAAAGAGCUCGUAGGCGGUUCGAUAAGUCGGGUGUGAAACCUCCAGGCUCAACCUGGAGACGCCACCCGAUACUGUCGUGACUAGAGUCCAGUAGGGGAGCGUGGAAUUCCUGGUGUAGCGGUGAAAUGCGCAGAUAUCAGGAGGAACACCAGCGGCGAAGGCGGCGCUCUGGGCUGGAACUGACGCUGAGGAGCGAAAGCGUGGGGGAGCGAACAGG
rnacentral:rRNA from 1 species